rnacentral:rRNA from 1 species
CUACGGGUGCUCCAGUGGGGAAUAUUGGACAAUGGGCGCAAGCCUGAUCCAGCAAUGCCGCGUGAGUGAAGACGGCCUUAGGGUUGUAAAACUCUUUCGCUAGGGAAGAUAAUGACUGUACCUAGUAAAGAAGUCCCGGCUAACUCCGUGCCAGCAGCCGCGGUAAUACGGAGGGGACUAGCGUUGUUCGGAAUUACUGGGCGUAAAGAGUUCGUAGGCGGACUGACAAGUUAGAGGUGAAAUCCCAGGGCUCAACCCUGGAACUGCCUUUAAAACUGUCAGUCUAGAGACCGGAAGAGGUUAGGGGAAUACCUAGUGUAGAGGUGAUAUUCGUAGAUAUUAGGUGGAACACCAGUGGCGAAGGCGCCUAACUGGUCCGGUACUGACGCUGAGGAACGAAAGCGUGGGGAGCAAACAGGAUUAGAUACCCGCGUAGUC